rnacentral:piRNA from 1 species
ACCUCACUGAUGAAGGUGGCGUGCUCCUU